GGACAGAACGAUGUUGUUUUAGAUCCUUGUUUUGUUUAACAAAAGUAAAAAAAUAGAAAGGUUGAAAGAGGGGAACAACAACGUGAACACCACUAAAACCCUUGCCUUGAGCGCCGACCUCCACCCACCCUGCGACGGCGGUUUCCGGCGACCAUGGUGGCCUCUGCGGUGGCGUUUUCCAGCGAGAAGCAAGCACAACAAGCGGUUCAAACAGCAGAAGUGAAGAACAGAGGAUCUGCAACAGAUACCAUUACCUCGAGCGCCGGCUUCCACCCUCCUGCAACGGCGGUUUCCAGCGACCGUGGUGGCCUCUGCGGCGGCGUUUUCCAGCGAGCAGCAAGCACAAGCGAUUGGAACAGAAGAAGGGAAGAACAGAUCUGAGGAAGAUUUGAAGGAAAUCAAGAGAAGAUUAAGAUUUGGAGUGGCUGGAGAUUUUGGCAUCAAAACCGUGCAAAUUCAGCUUUGUUUCUCGUGCAAAUGCUUGAGCUUCAUGGUUGCUGGAAUUUUCUGCACGAAAACUCGUGCAAAUCCUUCCCUGUUUCGCGCAAUUUCCGUGCUUUUCCAAUUCUGCCCGAAUUUCCAUGCUAUUUUCAGUGUUUUAUGGCGCAAUUGCGCCAAGCUCGGCUGGAAGGUUAUAAAAACACGGUUUUAACCUAAUUUUGGGGAUUCUUGGACGUGCUACACACUUUUGAGACUCUUUGGAGGCAGAGCUUUGAAUUCUUUAAGUUCCUUUACAGGUUUCUACUGUAAUUUGGAUGUUUUGUCAUCUUCUUCUUGAUUUUUUCUUCAUGACUAUGAGGAACUAAUCCUCUUUUGCAUUAGGGAUAGACGAAGUUACAUCUUUGAUUAUGUUUGGAUUCGUUUCGGUUUUUAUAUGAAUGACUAUAUUUCGUUCUUGAGUUUCUCUCUUGCUUUGAUUGUUAUCUACUGCGCAUAGAUUGUUUUACUUGUUUCUAUAUAAUUGGGAAAUUGAUAGGAAUUAGGGAUCUAGAGAGAAAUUGGAUUUUGGUCUCUACGCCUCAGGUAUAAGGGUAGCAAUAAAUCUGUGAUUGUCUGAUAUUGAAUUGAAUCUCUAGUUAAUUAGGAUUAGGUACUAAGGGAUUAGCUAUCACUAAUUAACUAGAAUGGGAACUUGACUAAGGAAUUAGUAAGUAAUCACAUAGACAUAACGCCUUGAACGGGUUUAGUCGAAUUCAUAUGUAACUGGAGCGGAUACAGGCAUAACGAGGGUAACAGAUUCAAUUCCCUAGUGCAGCUUUUCUCCCUAAGUUUACAAAUCAACAACUGUUUCUUUGUUUUUCUUGAUUUCUUUUCGCAAUAAUCACAAUCAAUCAAUUCUCUAUUUUUAUCUUUGUUUUUUAGUCCUUACAACUAAAUUGGUAAAUUUAGAAGUAAACAAACACAAUCCUUGUGUUCGAUAAUUAAAACCCCGGACGAAACUGUACACUUGCAGUUUGGCACAUCAAGUUUUUGGCGCUGUUGCCGGGGAUUGUGCUUCCGCUUCUAUUAGUUAAGCUAGUCGGGUGUUGUUUAGAGCAUUAUUAUAGUAUGUAUUUUUUUGUUAUGCUUCUUAUAUGCCAAUUCAAUUGAUUUGUUCUUGUGCUAAAAUGUUUGUUGUGGCCUAAUCAACUAUAACAUGAUAUGAGGUUUGAAAUUCUGUGAACCUGACAUAGAAUGAAUCAGCUAGUGGAUUUAAUGAGAAUUAAGUUCAUUAGUCAUGAAUUCAUGAUUUGAUGCAUAGGAUUUUGAGUCAUAGUGUCUCAUUAAAUUAUUUGAGUUAUGUUGUGGUAUUUUAAUUUGUGUGCUCGUUUUUGCAAGGACUAAGUGAUUUCACAGAAAUUAAUUUGAGUUAGAGGGCCCAGCUGACCAUGUCCUGGUGCUUUCAAGUUUGCACCUAAUCUGAGUACAGGGAGUUUUACUGAACCACUCAUCUCUCAUUUAAUUUCAUCAUCAUGCAUUUAGCAUUUAGUUAUUUUGAUUGCACACACUAGUAUGCACAUGCCUUGAAUUCUUGGUAUUCACUCUUUUAUGCUUGAAUAAUGCUUGUUGUUUUUAAUAUAUGUUCUGGGUUUGAGGCUAGUAGUUAUAAUAAAAAGUGUUUGAUGCAUGAGUGUGAGUGAAACUUGUGGAACAUGUGGAGAGUGAGGUAAUAGAGACUUCAGUGAGUUUUUGGAAAGUGCGGUAAGGUUAUUAAGAUUGCAGGUUAAUGGGGAUAAUGCAUAAAAUAUGUAGUUUUCCUUUUAAUCUUUAUAUUGAGUCUACACUCUUUUUGGCUGUGAGGUUAAAAAUAGGGCACACAUGUGAAAGUAAAACUAAAGUGCUAAAAAUGAAAAAAUAGUGAAAGAAUGUGAGUAAGGGAAUGGGAAGUAUUUGCACCACUGAGCAUACCCCCAAUCAUAUUCUGACAUUGUUAAAUAAAAGAAAAUAAUUUCGCCUUGAGUUGGUAAUAACUGUGAAGGGUUGAGACAAAGCUAAGUUAAAAAGGAAAGAACAUGUGUGUGCUCAUAAUAAAAUAAGACUGUUGGUCAUCAUUAGUGGAUUCUCAAUAUGGGGUUGGGGAAUUAGGAAUAAAAUGUGAAACCCCACAUCUUGGUAUUUUUUAUAAUUCUUACUUGCCCUUACUAAUGGUUACUCAGUUUUUAAAGCUUGAUUCUCUGCAUGAACUAUUUUGAGGAACUCAUCUCAUGUAUCUUUUGUGAAAAUAUGUAUACUAGCAUCUUACUUUGAACUAUUUUCUUGAGUUUGAGGACAAGCAACCUUAAGUUUACUCUUGAGGACAAGCUGCUGUUGAGUAUAGGGGUAUGAUGACCCGGGAUUUAAGGCUAUUUUCCUAGUUUAUUUGCAUAUAUUUUAAUAUAUUUUUUAGGAUAUUUCAGCCAUUUUAGAACACUUUAGGAUUAUUUCAUGAUUUUAUUAUUUUUGUUUGGUUUUAGUAUUUUUCCACUUUUUAUAUUAUUUUCUAAUUAUUAUUAGGAUUUACUUACUUUAAUUUAGGAUUAGAUAAGUUAUUUUAAGGUGUUAUCUUAUUUUUAUAUCUUAUCUAUUUUUUAUAUGCUUUAUUUUAGGAGAAGAUAUGGAGAAAAAAGAAGAUAUAAUGGAAAAAACGGAAAUUUUAAAGAAUUUUGGACGCUGGAAUCCUGCGUAGCGCAGGUGCACGAACUUACCAUGCACCUGCGCUGAGAUCGCGACACGUGUCAGGGGCUGGAAGAAGCUUCACGAGAUCCAUGAAGCUCCACUAGGGUGUGUCUCGGUACACCGCUUAUCAUGCACAAGACACGCCAGAUUUGCCAUAUUCGCAUCCAACGUUCCAUGCUCGCGAGGGUGCACAGCUUUAGCAUGAACCUGACUGCACAGGAUCAUUUUCUGCGCCAGAAAAGACAAAAUAGGCCCAGAUUACGAAAAUCACAAUAAAAUCAGUUUUAAACCUAUUUUUUGGGAUCUUUUUUCAUCUUUUCUUUUCUCCUAAACCUAAUAAACACCUUUGGGAGACUUGGAGGCAAUUUCUUGGUGGAGAGGAAGGCUAGGCCCUUGAGGGCCGGUGUCAGGGUCAUGGAGGAGGUGACAGCUUCUCCGGACGUCCAUGAAUCCGUUCUAUUUUGGGUUUUGUUUUUCUCUUUACCUAUAUUUGUGUUGUCUCUCUUUUAGUAUUUGUGAUGACAUAAUUUGAUUUUUUCUCUUAUUCAAUAUACUAUUAUGCAAUUAUAAUUAUGUAUUUUCAUUAUUUGGUGUU